rnacentral:lncRNA from 1 species
CAGUACCAUAUCUCCUCACUGUAGAUUUGUUAUUAACCAUUGAAGACCCUUUGCCAGAGUCACUCAGACCUAAAAGAAGUUUCCAUUGCAAUAAUUGUUUAGAUGGAAGUAUCUCAUAAACCUUCUAUGAAAUAACUGCCCUCAAUGUUGCUAUUGUGCAAGAUCCAACAAAGAAAUCACUACCGAUUGUUUAUUGUUGGACAGAUAUAAAGACAAU